rfam:Octopus bimaculoides Scaffold38212_contig_10, whole genome shotgun sequence.
AAAAAGGGUCCCCUUAUAUUUUUAUAGUUAAAUGGAACAAUACAGAAAAGGUUAGUGUGGCCCCUGCACAAGGAUGACAUGCAAAUUCAUGAAACAAGGCAUAUUUUU